GGAGCUUGAGCCCAAGUGGCCUACACCGGAAAAGCUCUGGGAUUGGGACAUGUGGAUGCGGAUGCCUGAACAACGCCGGGGUCGAGAGUGCAUCAUCCCUGACGUUUCCCGAUCCUACCACUUUGGCAUUGUCGGCCUCAACAUGAACGGCUACUUUCAUGUGAGUGGGAGGCAGGGAGCAGGGCACAGUGUGGCAUGACAGUCAAGAACAAGAACAUGGACUCUGAAGCAGUCUUAGCUCUGCUACUUGCUAGCCAUGUAACCUUGGGGAAAGAACUAUCCUAUUUUUGCCUCAGUUUCUUUAUCUGAAAAAUGAGGAUAAAGGGCUGGGCGCGGUGGCUCAUGCCUGUAAUCCCAGCACUUUGGGAGGCCGAGGCGGGCGGAUCACGAGGUCAGGAGAUCGAGACCAUCCUGGCUAACAUGGUAAAGCCUCAUCUCUACUAAAAAUACAAAAAAUUAGCUGGGCCUGGUGAUGGGUGCCUGUAGUCCCAGCUACUUGGGAGGCUGAGGCAGGAGAAUGGCGUGAACCCGGGAGGCGAAGCUUGCAGUGAGCCAAGAUCACGCCACUGCACUCCAGCCUAGGCGACAGAGCGAGACUCCAUCUCAAAAAAAAAGAGGAUAAAAUACUGUUACCUCACUUCACUGGG
rnacentral:sRNA from 1 species